AGGAUUCGACGCCAGCGGGUCCACAGGAGCGACCCAUUCAGGAGCAUUUUGGUCAGCCUGCCGAGGCAGAGGUGUCUUCUCAUGAGACUACUGAGGCGCAUCAUCUCGUCCAGGAGACUACCUCAUAUUCACCAUCACACUCAUCUGAGGAGCCUACAGACCCAUCUGAGGAGCCUACUCAGGCGCCCGUUGACACACAGGUUCAUCCUUCGGCGCCUGAGGUGGCGACUCCAGACGAGGAAGUGGUUGAGUCUCCAGACCUAGCUC